GACGUAGGGCGCGAGCGUUGUCCGGAUUUAUUGGGCGUAAAGAGCUCGUAGGCGGCUUGUCGCGCGUUCGUGAAAACCUGCAGCUCAACUGCAGGCUUGCGGUCGAUACGGGCAGGCUAGAGUUCGGUAGGGGAGACUGGAAUUCCUGGUGUAGCGGUGAAAUGCGCAGAUAUCAGGAGGAACACCGGUGGCGAAGGCGG
rnacentral:rRNA from 1 species